ACCCACAUCUUUAGUUGCCAGCAGGUUAAGCUGGGCACUCUAGAGAAACUGCCCGUGAUAAGCGGGAGGAAGGUGUGGAUGACGUCAAGUCCUCAUGGCCCUUACGGGUUGGGCUACACACGUGCUACAAUGGCAGUGACAAUGGGUUAAUCCCAAAAAGCUGUCUCAGUUCGGAUUGGGGUCUGCAACUCGACCCCAUGAAGUCGGAAUCGCUAGUAAUCGCGUAACAGCAUGACGCGGUGAAUACGUUCCCGGGCCUUGUACACACCGCCCGUCACACCAUGGGAGUUGGUUCUACCCGACGACGCUGCGCUAACCCUUCGGGGAGGCAGGCGGCCCCGGUAGGAUCAGCGACUGGGGUGAAGUCGUAACAAGGUAGCCGUAAUCGAAUUUCCCGCGGCCGCCAAAR
rnacentral:rRNA from 1 species